GACGAACGCUGGCGGCGUGCUUAACACAUGCAAGUCGAACGGAAAGGCCCCUUUGGGGGUACUCUAGUGGCGAACGGGUGAGUAACACGUGAGUAACCUGCCCUUGACUUCGGGAUAACUGCAGGAAACUGGGGCGAAUACCGGAGAGGAAUCCUUGCUGCAGGGUGGGGGGGGGAAAGCUUCGGCGGUUUUGGAUGGACUCGCGGCUUAGCAGCUUGUUGGUGGGGGAGUGGCUUACCAAGGCGUUGACGGGUAGACGGACAGUGAGGGUGACAGGCGACAUUGAGACUGAGAUGCGGCACAGAUUCCUAAGGGAGGCAGCAGUGGGGAAGAUUGCACAAUGGGCGGCAGCCUGAUGCAGAAGCGCCGCGUGCGGGAUGACGGUCUUCGGGUUGUAGACCGCUUUCAGCAGGGGCGAAGCUUGUGGUGACGGUACCUGCAGAAGAAGCACCGGCUAACUACGUG
rnacentral:rRNA from 1 species